GGGAGACCUUCGGGCCUCUUGCCAUCGGAUGUGCCCAGAUGGGAUUAGCUAGUAGGUGGGGUAACGGCUCACCUAGGCGACGAUCCCUAGCUGGUCUGAGAGGAUGACCAGCCACACUGGAACUGAGACACGGUCCAGACUCCUACGGGAGGCAGCAGUGGGGAAUAUUGCACAAUGGGCGCAAGCCUGAUGCAGCCAUGCCGCGUGUAUGAAGAAGGCCUUCGGGUUGUAAAGUACUUUCAGCGGGGAGGAAGGGAGUAAAGUUAAUACCUUUGCUCAUUGACGUUACCCGCAGAAGAAGCACCGGCUAACUCCGUGCCAGCAGCCGCGGUAAUACGGAGGGUGCAAGCGUUAAUCGGAAUUACUGGGCGUAAAGCGCACGCAAGCCGU
rnacentral:rRNA from 1 species